AGCGGCGGACGGGUGAGUAACGCGUGGGUAACCUGCCCUAUGCACACGGAUAACAUAUCGAAAGGUAUGCUAAUACGAGAUAAUACAUUUUUAAGGCAUCUUAGAAAUGUCAAAGAUUUAUCGGUAUAGGAUGGACCCGCGUCCCAUUAGCUAGUUGGUGAGGUAAAAGCUCACCAAGGCGACGAUGGGUAGCCGACCUGAGAGGGUGAUCGGCCACACUGGAACUGAGACACGGUCCAGACUCCUACGGGAGGCAGCAGUGGGGAAUAUUGCACAAUGGGGGAAACCCUGAUGCAGCAACGCCGCGUGAGCGAUGAAGGCCUUCGGGUCGUAAAGCUCUGUCCUAAGGGAAGAUAAUGACGGUACCUUAGGAGGAAGCCCCGGCUAACUACGUGCCAGCAGCCGCGGUAAUACGUAGGGGGCAAGCGUUAUCCGGAAUUACUGGGCGUAAAGGGUGCGUAGGCGGCCUUGUAAGUCAGAAGUGAAAGGCUACGGCUCAACCGUAGUAAGCUUUUGAAACUGCAGGGCUUGAGUGCAGGAGAGGAGAGUAGAAUUCCUAGUGUAGCGGUGAAAUGCGUAGAUAUUAGGAGGAAUACCAGUUGCGAAGGCGGCUCUCUGGACUGUAACUGA
rnacentral:rRNA from 1 species